rnacentral:rRNA from 1 species
GACAGAGGGGGCAAGCGUUGCUCGGAAUUACUGGGCGUAAAGGGCGCGUAGGCGGAAUGGCAAGUCGGUCGUGAAAUCCUUCGGCUCAACCGAAGAACGUCGAUCGAAACUGCCGUUCUUGAGGAUUGCAGAGGAGACUGGAAUUCCCGGUGUAGCGGUGAAAUGUGUAGAGAUCGGGAGGAACACCGGUGGCGAAGGCGGGUCUCUGGGCAAUUCCUGACACUGAAACACGAAAGCGUGGGUAGCGAAUGGG